rnacentral:rRNA from 1 species
CCUACGGGUGGCAGCAGUGGGGAAUAUUGCACAAUGGGGGGAACCCUGAUGCAGCGACGCAGCGUGGGUGAAGGAGUAUUUCGGGAUGUCAAGCCCUAUCGGCAGGGAGACAAUUGGACGGUACCUGACUAAGAAGCCCCGGCUAACUACGUGACAGCAGCCUCGGUAAUACGUAGGGGGCGAGCGUUAUCCGGAUUCACUGGGUGUAAAGGGAGCUUAGACGGCCAUGCAAGCCAGGGGUGAAAGCCCGGGGCCCAACCCCGGGACUGCCCUUGGAACUGCAUGGCUGGAGUGCGGGAGGGGCAGGCGGAAUUCCUGGUGUAGCGGUGAAAUGCGUAGAUAUCAGGAGGAACACCGGAGGCGAAGGCGGCCUGCUGGACCGCGACUGACGUUGAGGCUCGAAAGCGUGGGGAGCGAACAGGAUUAGAUACCCCGGUAGUC